UCAAUUCCCAACUCUUCUGGGGUUUUUGUCCUUCCCUACAACUCCCCCGUCAAUAAUUCUGUAACGCUGCCCUUCUCCCCUCGCACUGCCCCUGCCCUUUCACCCGCCAGAUGUUCAGUCCCAACUGCUCCCUUUUGCCAUUUCUCCUUCUUUUAUUUGUUCCCUUUUUUUAUUCCCAGCCCCUGUCCAACCUCUCCAGCUCCUCCAGCAGCAGGAAAGUGGGAAGAACCACAAGAUCCAGGGGCAGCAGAGAGGGAAAGCCACGGCAGGGACGCGGGCAGCAGGGAUGCGGGCAGGGAUGCGGGUAGCAGGGAUACUGGCAGCAGGGAUGCGGGGCCUCCCUGGGGGUGUCCCACACCCAUCCCCUCCUUCCCUCCGGUCCCUCCGGAUCGUGGGGAAGCCGGGAUAACCCAAUUCCGGUGCCCGGCCGCCGCGUACCAGGACGUGCCUUCAUCCGGGGCGCUCCAGCGGAGCCAAAUCCCCCGGGAGCGGCGGGGGGAGGACGCUCCCGUUAUCCGGCUCCAGCCGCACCAGCCGUGCAUUAAUAGAUUAUCCCGAGCAUUUGGGAUCGCCAGGAGCCAGGGAAGCGCUCGCGGGAGGAGCACGGGCAGGGCCAGGCCGGCGGACACGGCCCCGUUUGCCUCUGCUGCCGGCAUUCCCAACACAGGUGGGAGCGGGACGCGCUGGGAAUCUGCCGGUAUGGCUGGAGCGGGAUCGGGGUGCUGCUCCCGGGGAGGCCGGAGCGGCCAUGGGGCUGAUCCCGCUCCCGGCUGGAGUUCUGGGGGAUGCCAAAGCUGGGAUGGAGCGGGGCUGGGAUGGAGCCGUGCCCGGGACAGGAUUUCACCUUCCCAGCACCUCGAGCCCUUGCCUGACCUUCUGCCGGAGCUGGGGCACCCCUGGGCUUCAUCACCCCGGGCUGGGGAAGGUCCCCUUGUGCUACCAGUUUUUGGGGUGGCACAGGGUGCCAGGUUCUUGUCCCCCCAGCUUCUGUGCCUCAGUUUCCCCAUCACACCCGUCCUCCCCCUGAGGCACUGCUGGGGGCAAUGGGGUGGGGGAUACAGACGGGUUUGCUCUGCUCCCCAAAUCAGCGCUGGCCACCCCGUGAGCCGUGUCCAGGGCUCAUCACCCAGCGUGUGGAUGCCUCAAAUCCCUCCUGGUCCCGUCAGAGCCGUGGCCAGGGAGGAAAAGGACAAACUCCCCCGUUCCCAAACAGCCUCUGGCUGCUGUUUGCUGCUCCCCACCCCGAGCCAUGCCACCACCCAAAUUUCAGUCAAAUCUGGCUCAGUCCCUGGGUUUUGCAUGAGAGGGGCACCUGGCAAACUCUGA
rnacentral:lncRNA from 13 species